rnacentral:rRNA from 1 species
GAUCAUGGCUCAGGACGAACGCUGGCGGCGUGCUUAACACAUGCAAGUCGAACGAGAAUCUGCUGAAGGAGGAUUCGUCCAACGGAAGCAGAGGAAAGUGGCGGACGGGUUAGUAACGCGUGAGGAACCUGCCUUGAAGAGGGGGACAACAGUUGGAAACGACUGCUAAUACCGCAUGACGCAUAGAGGUCGCAUGAUCUUUAUGCCAAAGAUUUAUCGCUUCAAGAUGGCCUCG